GCUGAGGAGAGAGAAGAGCUAGCGACGAGCAGUCGUCGCCACCACCGCGGGAGGUGGAGGAGGCCCUGCCGGAGUCGAGAGGUCUCGUCUCCCCGCCGACGGCCCCUGCCCGCAGCUCCUCUGCUUCUUCUCGGUGCCGGAACUCCCGGGCCUGCCCGGGGCCCCCAGUCUUUGCACUCCGCACGUCGCAGCGCCCGGCCCCGGCCGCACCCGCCGGCCCCAUGAGGAGGGACGUGAACGGAGUGACCAAGAGCAGGUUUGAGAUGUUCUCAAAUAGCGAUGAAGCUGUAAUUAAUAAAAAACUUCCCAAAGAACUCCUAUUACGGAUAUUUUCUUUUCUGGAUGUUGUUACCUUGUGUCGCUGUGCUCAGGUCUCCAGGGCCUGGAAUGUUCUGGCUCUGGAUGGCAGUAACUGGCAGCGAAUUGACCUGUUUGAUUUCCAGAGAGAUAUCGAGGGCCGGGUAGUGGAGAAUAUUUCAAAAAGGUGUGGGGGCUUUUUACGAAAGUUAAGUCUUCGUGGGUGUCUCGGAGUAGGAGACAAUGCAUUAAGGACCUUUGCACAAAACUGUAGGAACAUUGAAGUACUGAAUCUCAAUGGGUGUACAAAGACUACAGAUGCUACAUGUACUAGCCUUAGCAAGUUCUGUUCCAAACUCAGGCACCUUGACUUGGCUUCCUGUACAUCAAUAACAAACAUGUCUCUAAAAGCUCUGAGUGAGGGAUGUCCACUGUUGGAGCAAUUAAACAUUUCCUGGUGUGACCAAGUAACCAAGGAUGGUAUCCAAGCACUAGUGAGAGGCUGUGGAGGUCUUAAAGCCUUAUUCUUAAAAGGCUGCACACAGCUAGAAGAUGAAGCUCUCAAGUACAUAGGUGCACACUGUCCUGAACUGGUGACUUUGAACUUGCAGACUUGCUUACAAAUCACAGAUGAAGGUCUCAUUACUAUAUGCAGAGGGUGCCACAAGCUACAGUCCCUCUGUGCCUCUGGCUGCUCCAACAUCACAGAUGCCAUCCUGAACGCUUUAGGUCAGAACUGCCCACGGCUUAGAAUAUUAGAAGUGGCAAGGUGUUCUCAACUAACAGAUGUAGGCUUUACCACUCUGGCCAGGAAUUGCCAUGAGCUUGAAAAGAUGGACCUGGAAGAGUGUGUUCAGAUAACAGAUAGCACAUUAAUCCAACUCUCUAUACACUGUCCUCGACUUCAAGUAUUGAGUCUGUCUCACUGUGAGCUGAUCACAGACGAUGGAAUUCGUCACCUGGGGAAUGGGGCCUGCGCCCAUGACCAGCUGGAGGUGAUUGAACUGGACAACUGCCCCCUAAUUACAGAUGCAUCCCUGGAGCACUUGAAGAGCUGUCACAGCCUUGAGCGGAUAGAACUCUAUGACUGCCAGCAAAUCACACGGGCUGGAAUCAAGAGACUCAGGACCCAUUUACCCAAUAUUAAAGUCCACGCCUACUUCGCACCUGUCACUCCACCCCCAUCAGUAGGGGGCAGCAGACAGCGCUUCUGCAGAUGCUGCAUCAUCCUAUGACAAUGGAGGUGGUCAACCUUGGUGAACUGAGUAUUUAAUGACACUUCUAGAGUUACCAUGGAUCUCCAUUGGAAGCGACCCCAGUGUUCCGGGCAAAGGUUACAAAGUCCAUGUGGAGGCGAGCCCUGCCUGUCUGGGCCAAGAACAGAGUCAAGUGAGGGAAUAAAGGCCCUGGAGUGUGCAGCACUGGCAUGUAUGUGGUCAGGCAGGAACCUUGUUCCUUUCUGAAGAAAACUUCUGGCCCAUCAAGCUUGGAAGGACAUGUAUUUUUUAUGCCAGUCUAAAACCUAUGUCAGCUGAUGAAAUGUACCAGGACUUCGAGAACACAGAACGUGAUGCCCAGACUUAACAUCUUGGUUCUCCAGCAAAGAACAUGCUGCUCUAACCUUGCCCUCUCACUUGGGACAAACUUUCUACCUACCAGAAACUACCAUUUGAGGCAAGUGAGUCUUCUGUGUGAAGGGCUUCUGCAGCACAGCACCCCCGUGCCCUCCCAAGGCAAGUCUACCUAUUUUGCCCAUCUUUAUUCUUAAGAACAUCAGUUCUGCAUCUCUGAACCCUUUGAUCCUUUGGAAAGUCAGUAAGAACUUCUCAGCUGAGUCUGAGUGAAUCUUUGGAGCCCAAGAGAGUUAACCUUAAUUUUCAGCAGAGAAAAAAAUUGUUGGACAAACUCACGUGUGUGUUAAGAAAAUUCCAUAAUGCACUUCCUCCGUCUCUGCCUUCUAUGUUUGUUGAGUAACCCCUUAGUAGAGGUUGUUUCACAGGUGUUGAGACUCAGUGCUUCCUCAGCCAGGGUAGUUCACUGCCCUUUUAGGAAAAAGAACCAUGAACAACCAAAACUAUAUCAAUUGACCCUGUUUAUUUUCUGUGUUUUUCAGUGUCUUGUUUUGAAGAAUUGGGGUGGGGAAAUGGUAGUUGACAUUCAAAGUAGAGGAGAGAAUCAGUUCUGGAACUGGGGUACUUUGCUUCAGGUACAAGCAUCUGUCCUGAAUAUGUAGAAACAGCUGCCUCACAUGUGAGUAGGUUUACUUUCCUCUCCACGUAAUGAACUCCAUGCCCUUCUUAGUGGCAAGGAGGGCUUCUACUUUCUACACACGUAACCAGUGUCAUCCAGAUGGGGAUUGGCACCACUGAACACCACCAAUGCUUCCCAUCGGCUUCUGGGCAUGAUUUUCACCAGGGCAAGAGCAAGUAGGCAGUAAAUGAGAAUCCCCACCCCAGGGAGAGAUAAGAGAAGAGAGGUGUUCAGACACAUACCUAUUCUCUUCUGCCAUAUCCCCAAGAACCCAGGGAAAUGUCUGAAGUGAUUUUUUCUUUUUUUUAAUUAAAGUGGAUGAAGAAAGAUUGACCCCACUAAGUUUUAGCUUGUCCCUGUCUCUUAUACUACGUGUUGUUAUUCAUUCAAAUCUGUACUACACUGCUGCUCACAUACAUGUAUGUGUUUCUUACCUUAGCCUAACCCUUCUCAACCCCUGAAGUCAUUAUUCUAUUUUGUGUUUUCUUUUUUUAUGGCACUAGCGAAUGAGAACCUAAAGUCUUAGAAAAUCCUAACUUGAAAAGGAGUCUCUAACUGGCAUGGUUUGAUUAAUUACUUUACCUUUUCCCCCUAAAGACUUGAAUGAUUUUCUUCCCUAGUGCUAUAUAAUAGAUCUGUAAUAAGUGAAACCUUUGCUGCUACUUUUCUGGGUUUACAUCAGUUUUUUCCUUCCCUUAAAAAUAAUUUCUUAUCUGUGCUUCUCUGAUGACUGUUAAUUUCUAAUAAGUACAGGAAGAGGUGAACCUGAGAUUUCUUCUCUUACUCCCCUCCUCAACCUACCCCCAAAUUAUACACUAACCUCUAACAUAUAUAAGAUCCAUGAGAUGGGGCUCAUCAUAAGAUGCUUGUGGGGUUUUUUUCUCAUCAUGCUGCAGCUCUCAGAGCUGGCCCCUGAGGAUCUGUGACUACCCAGUCCGAAGGGUUACUACAGGGAGAGAAAGGCUUUCUUAAUUUUGCCUUUCUCCAUUCCUGUUUUAUGAUCACCCUUCAGAUGCCUCCCAUUCUGGCUGCCUCCUUUUUCCUCCCAGGAGUUGCUUCCAAGUAACCUGCCUCGGUCAUUUCCCAACUGCUCUCCUCACCUUUGCCCACCUUCCAGUGACCCUGAGAGCACAGACCUGAGAGCCGGGGCCUGUGCAGAGCUCAGAGAACUGUGAGGACGACCCCUGCCUUUCAGACUCUACUUGGGGACAGAGAUGGGUAAAUGGUGCUGUGGGAGAAAUUUUUAUCUUCAAACCAGGCUGUUUCGCCCUUUGCACUGCCCCGCCUCCAUCCCCACUCCCCUGAGGAAGGGGUAAAAUGCAGAGGAUGGUUGACUAGCAGGGUCUGAUCCCCAACAUUGCUGUCUGGCCUAAGCCUUGUCCAGCCAUUCGGCCUGCUGUGGCGUGAGAGCUUCAGUGUGUGGGAGCUGCCGCUUGCUUGUUUCUCCACCAGGCCUGCCCCAACACUUAGCCGGUCCCUGGGGCCAACACAGUUCCCUACAUGGUGACUUAACACCAGCCUCCAUUAGCUGUCCAAGCGACUGUGUUUCCACCCAAUACUUUUGGCGCUUGAG